ensembl:lncRNA
GUCAGGGUAAGGCAGGGGUCAGUAACCAGAGGCGGGGCAAUGGUACCGGGCGGCAGGCAGGGUCAGGGUAAGGCAGGGGUCAGUAACCAGAGGCGGGGCAACGGUACCGGGCGGCAGGCAGGCAGGCAGGCAGGCAGGCAGGCAGGCUGGCUCAGGGUCAAGGCAGGCAGGGGUCAGUAACCAGAGGUGGAGCAACGGUACCAGACGGCAGGCAGGCAGGCUCAGGGUCAGGGUAAGGCAGGGUUCAGUAACCAGAGGUGGGGCAACGGUACCGGGCGGCAGGCAGGCUCAGUGGAAACGCAUCUUGCUGUGAUGUCACACUGGUAUUUCACCCAGUAGAUAUGGGAGCUUAUCAAAAUUAGAUUUUUGGGGGAAUUCUUUGUGGGUCUGUGUAAUCUGAGGGAAAUAUGUGUCUCUAAUAUGGACAUACAGUUGGCGAGAGGUUAGGAAAUGCAGCUCAGUUUC